rnacentral:rRNA from 1 species
UACGUAGGGACCGAGCGUUGUCCGGAAUCAUUGGGCGUAAAGAGCGUGUAGGCGGCUUGCUAAGUCUUGCGUGAAAUCUCGGGGCUCAACCCCGAGCGGUCGUGGGAAACUGGCAGGCUAGAGUGCGGGAGAGGAGAAUGGAAUUCCUGGUGUAGCGGUGAAAUGCGCAGAUAUCAGGAAGAACACCCGUGGCGAAGGCGGUUCUCUGGAACGCAACUGACGCUGAGACGCGAAAGCGUGGGUAGCAAACAGG